rnacentral:rRNA from 1 species
GACGAACGCUGGCGGCGUGCUUAACACAUGCAAGUCGAACGGAAAGGCCCUGCUUUUGUGGGGUGCUCGAGUGGCGAACGGGUGAGUAACACGUGAGUAACCUGCCCUUGACUUUGGGAUAACUUCAGGAAACUGGGGCUAAUACCGGAUAGGAGCUCCUGCUGCAUGGUGGGGGUUGGAAAGUUUCGGCGGUUGGGGAUGGACUCGCGGCUUAUCAGCUUGUUGGUGGGGUAGUGGCUUACCAAGGCUUUGACGGGUAGCCGGCCUGAGAGGGUGACCGGCGACAUUGGGACUGAGAUACGGCCCAGACUCCUACGGGAGGCAGCAGGGGGGAAGAUUGCACAAGGGGCGGAAGCCUGAUGCAGCAACGCCGCGUGCGGGAUGACGGCGUUCGGGUUGUAAACCGCUUUCGCCUGUGACGAAGCGUGAGUGACGGGAAUGGGUAAAGAAGCACCGGCUAACUAAGUG